UUCAACAAACAACAACACAAUCAUGGGUUUUACCUCGUGGAACUCCCCUUCUAAUCAAUCUACAGAUGGAAGAUUGAUGAACGAACAAACCAAAUCAAACAAGGUGUGCCCGCCAAGGUAUUGAGAUACUUUCCUAUCAUUCCAUGACUUAAAUGGAUGUUUGUAUUAUGGACUAAAGCACACAAAAGGAAGGAUGGAGAACCGGUGAAUUCACAAGUUGCCGAGACACUUGAGCGCAUUCAACAAACUGAGGCUGAGACGACAGUUUCAACAAUAAACGUGGCUGAUGAUGCUU